UGAGUAACGCGUGGGUAACCUACCCCAAAGUCCGGGAUAACAGCGGGAAACCGCUGCUAAUACCGGAUGCCUUUACCUUGGGGCAUCUUGAGGUAAAGAAAGGCAACGCUUUGGGAUGGGCCCGCGUCCCAUUAGCUAGUUGGUGAGGUAACGGCUCACCAAGGCGACGAUGGGUAGCCGGCCUGAGAGGGUGGACGGCCACACUGGGACUGAGACACGGCCCAGACUCCUACGGGAGGCAGCAGUAGGGAAUACUGCGCAAUGGACGGAAGUCUGACGCAGCGACGCCGCGUGAGCGAUGAAGGUCUUCGGAUCGUAAAGCUCUGUCCUUGGGGAAGAAGGCGAAAGCUUGACGGUACCCAAGAAGAAAGCCCCGGCUAACUACGUGCCAGCAGCCGCGGUAAUACGUAGGGGGCGAGCGUUGUCCGGAAUUACUGGGCGUAAAGGGUGCGUAGGCGGCCCUUUAAGUCGGAUGUGAA
rnacentral:rRNA from 1 species